rnacentral:rRNA from 1 species
AAUCCAUAGGUUAAUGAGGCGAACCGGGGGAACUGAAACAUCUAAGUACCCCGAGGAAAAGAAAUCAACCGAGAUUCCCCCAGUAGCGGCGAGCGAACGGGGAGGAGCCCAGAGCCUGAAUCAGCAUGUGUGUUAGUGGAAGCGUCUGGAAAGGCGCGCGAUACAGGGUGACAGCCCCGUACACAAAAGCGCAUGUGCUGUGAGCUCGAUGAGUAGGGCGGGACACGUGGUAUCCUGUCUGAAUAUGGGGGGACCAUCCUCCAAGGCUAAAUACUCCUGACUGACCGAUAGUGAACCAGUACCGUGAGGGAAAGGCGAAAAGAACCCCGGCGAGGGGAGUGAAAAAGAACCUGAAACCGUGUACGUACAAGCAGUGGGAGCACAGGUUUACCUGUGUGACUGCGUACCUUUUGUAUAAUGGGUCAGCGACUUAUAUUCUGUAGCAAGGUUAACCGAAUAGGGGAGCCGGAGGGAAACCGAGUCUUAAUUGGGCGUUAAGUUGCAGGGUAUAGACCCGAAACCCGGUGAUCUAGCCAUGGGCAGGUUGAAGGUUGGGUAACACUAACUGGAGGACCGAACCGACUAAUGUUGAAAAAUUAGCGGAUGACCUGUGGCUGGGGGUGAAAGGCCAAUCAAACCGGGAGAUAGCUGGUUCUCCCCGAAAGCUAUUUAGGUAGCGCCUCGUGAAUUCAUCUCCGGGGGUAGAGCACUGUUUCGGCUAGGGGGCCAUCCCGGCUUACCAACCCGAUGCAAACUGCGAAUACCGGAGAAUGUUAUCACGGGAGACACACGGCGGGUGCUAACGUCCGUCGUGAAGAGGGAAACAACCCAGACCGCCAGCUAAGGUCCCAAAGUCAUGGUUAAGUGGGAAACGAUGUGGGAAGGCCCAGACAGCCAGGAUGUUGGCUUAGAAGCAGCCAUCAUUUAAAGAAAGCGUAAUAGCUCACUGGUCGAGUCGGCCUGCGCGGAAGAUGUAACGGGGCUAAACCAUGCACCGAAGCUGCGGCAGCGAACGUAUCACCCAAGA